CACACACACACACGGACUUAUUGGAGCAGCCUGUGGGAUGUGGUCCAGCUAGACCAACAAUGGCUGUCUCCUGAUGGAAUCAGGAGUCUGCAAGGUUGGAUGUCUCAGCUGCUCUCCAGUCUGCACUGGAAUUCCAGAGAAGGGCGUUCAGCUCUCAGUGAGGGAUACCUCCCAAGCAGGAUGGAAGGACUUGCUAGCUGGAGGGAGGGCAGCAGGCAGAAACAAAGCCUCCUCCCUCCACGAUCUUUUAUGUAGGCUGCUGCUGAGGUACGCCCAGUUUUGGGGUGGGUCUUCUCUCUUCAAAUGAUCCAACCAGGAAGAUACCUCACGCAGCUGCUGGGGUUUUAGUCGAUUCCACAUGUGGUCAAAUUGACAACCAAGAUUAGCCAUCAUGCAUGGAAUGUGAGCAUCUGCACGCAUGUGGAGGCAGAGGAGAGGUCUGGGCUGGAGCUGAAGUUGCAGGCAGUGGUGAGCUGCCCCAUACAGGUCCUCUAGGAGAGCACUAUGUAUGCGCUCCUAACUCCUGAGCCACCUCUCCAGUCCUAACUUAGUAAGUCCUCUGUCUGCUUCCGGAACGUUUGCACACGGCUGGCCUAAGGAGUGGCAAUGCUCGUCAAGUUCAGAAGCGCAGGCCACACUGGGAGUGGACCUGCUUCUUCCCGCUCUCCCUUCCGAAGGCUUUGGCCCCUCCUUGCUGCCUUCCUCUGCCUCCCAUUACAGCGUGGAACACGUGUUUCAUGGUACAGCAACGUCAGAAUGACACAAGUGCCAUUGCUCACCCAACACUGCUUGUUAGUGCUGGGAGAAACCGAGGCAUGGCGAGGUUCAGCAGUGUUCCCAAAGGUUAUAGCUGGCUCUGUUGUAAAGCACUCCCAGAACCUGGACUGGCUGUGUGAAGGCAAAAGAAGUCUGCAGGCCACUCCUGCCAAGCCCUCCCUCCCUAGUUCUGAGCCUCCUGGUGUAUGGAUUGAAUCAUGGAUUCCUUUGCACCAAUUUGGAAAAGAAUUGCUUACUGUGUGCUGAUCUUUUUGGAAGGAAGGGAUGGCCAUUCUGAAGUUUGAAUUUUUUUUUUUCCUGUCAAGAAAAUUGACACACUGUGCUUUAUCCAUGAAUUAGAAUUUUCUGGUCUGUGUUUUGACAUUGGCAUCACUGGGUCAUGGCUGGAAUCAUAUGCUACUUGGAUUGCAGAGCAGUACUGCCCCAGUCCUGACUCCCUAAGGCGGUGGCAAGGAACAGGCCAAAAGUCUAAAGUUCGACUCUAAAAGGUCACAACGAAUUUUUCACUGAUUUCCACCAAUUCUCACGGGGUAGCCACGGGAAAGCCAUGCUGUGGGGCUUUCUAACUUAACUGUCUUCCUUCUUUUACAGCCUUUCUACCAGAUUUGGCACUGUAGCUGUCCCUAACAUUUUGUUAUUUCAAGGAGCCAAACCAAUGGCGAGGUUUAACCAUACAGAUCGAACCUUGGAAACACUGAAAAUCUUCAUUUUCAAUCAGACAGGUAUAGAAGCCAAGAAAAAUGUGGUGGUAACGCAGGCUGACCAACUGGGCCCGCUCCCCAGCACGUUGGUAAAGACUGUGGAUUGGCUGCUUGUGUUUUCCUUGUUCUUUUUAAUUAGUUUCAUUAUGUACGCUACCAUCCGCACUGAGAGUAUCCGGUGGCUGAUUCCAGGACAAGAGCAGGAACACGCAGAGUAGAGACAGAACUGAACCCGAACACGUGGGGUCUUAGCCCUGCGGACUUAGCAUUACAGCGGCUAACGUGUGGACUUGCCACGGAAGUCAGGUUCAAGAAUCAUGUUCUUGUUGAACUACUGAAAGGCUGAAAAGAUUUCAUUUAAAUGUGUUUUUACUGUGACAAUUAGCAGAUGCAAAAGUGUCCACUAGAAUUGACUGUUCUUGUUUUUAAUACUUGAACAUAAUGAAUGAAUUUCUCUUCUAGUGUUGUUAAGCAGGAAAGUUGCUGUAUGACAGGUGGAACUUCCCGGGAAGCAUGGGCUAGGACAGGAAGUGUGGGCUACGAUGGGGAGCAUGGGCUAGGACAGGAAGUGUGGGACGGGAUGGCAAAGUGUGCGUCUACCACAGGACCAGGUGAAAAAUAAAGUCACUGAAAGAAUUCAAA
rnacentral:sRNA from 1 species